UGCAGUCUGAAACUCGAGUGCAUGAAGCUGGAAUCGCUAGUAAUCGCAAAUCAGAAUGUUGCGGUGAAUACGUUCCCGGGUCUUGUACACACCGCCCGUCACACCAUGGGAGUCGGGAAUGCCCGAAGCCGGUGACCGAACCGAAAGGACGGAGCCGUCGAAGGCAGGUCUGAUAACUGGGGUGAAGUCGUAACAAGGUAUC
rnacentral:rRNA from 1 species